rnacentral:rRNA from 1 species
AGGAAAAGAAACUAACAAGGAUUCCCCUAGUAACUGCGAGUGAAGCGGGAAAAGCUCAAAUUUAAAAUCUGGUAGUCUUUGGCUGCCCGAGUUGUAAUCUAGAGAAGCGUUAUCCGUGCUGGACCGUGUAUAAGUCUCCUGGAAUGGAGCGUCAUAGAGGGUGAGAAUCCCGUCUUUGACACGGACUCCCAGUGCAUUGUGAUACGCUCUCAAAGAGUCGAGUUGUUUGGGAAUGCAGCUCUAAAUGGGUGGUAAAUUCCAUCUAAAGCUAAAUAUUGGCGAGAGACCGAUAGCGAACAAGUACCGUGAGGGAAAGAUGAAAAGAACUUUGAAAAGAGAGUUAAACAGUACGUGAAAUUGUUGAAAGGGAAACGCUUGAAGUCAGUCGCGUUGAUCAGGGAUCAACCUUGCUUUUGCUUGGUGUACUUUCUGGUUAACGGGUCAGCAUCAAUUUUGACCAGUGGAAAAAGGUUAGGGGAAUGUGGCAUCUUUUAGAUGUGUUAUAGCCUCUGAUCGUAUACAUUGGUUGGGAUUGAGGAACUCAGCACGCCGCAAGGCCGGGGUUUACCCACGUUCGUGCUUAGGAUGCUGGCAUAAUGGCUUUAAUCGACCCGUCUU